rnacentral:rRNA from 1 species
CCCUUAGAUGUUCUGGGCCGCACGCGCGCUACACUGAUGCAUUCAACGAGCCUAUCCUUGACCGACAGGUCCGGGUAAUCUUUGAAUCUGCAUCGUGACGGGGAUAGAUUAUUGCAAUUAUUAAUCUUCAACGAGGAAUGCCUAGUAGGCGCAAGUCAUCAGCUUGCGUCGAUUACGUCCCUGCCCUUUGUACACACCGCCCGUCGCUCCUACCGAUUGGGUGUGCUGGUGAAAUGUUCGGAUCGGCCGUUUGUCGCGGUCUCCGCGUCAUGUGGCUGAGAAGUUCAUUAAACCCUCCCACCGAGAGGAAGGAGAAGUCGUAACA